CUGAGAGUUUGAUUCUGGCUCAGAACGAACGCUGGCGGCAGGCUUAACACAUGCAAGUCGAACGAUAUAGUGGCAGACGGGUGAGUAACGCGUGGAAACGUGCCUUUCACUACGGAAUAGCUUUUGGAAACGAAAGGUAAUACCGUAUACGCCCUCCGGGGGAAAGAUUUAUCGGUGAAAGAUCGGUCCGCGUUAGAUUAGCUAGUUGGUGAGGUAACGGCUCACCAAGGCUACGAUCUAUAGCUGGUCUGAGAGGAUGAUCAGCCACACUGGGACUGAGACACGGCCCAGACUCCUACGGGAGGCAGCAGUGGGGAAUAUUGCACAAUGGGCGCAAGCCUGAUGCAGCCAUGCCGCGUGAAUGAUGAAGGCCUUAGGGUUGUAAAAUUCUUUCGCCAGGGAUGAUAAUGACAGUACCUGGUAAAGAAGCCCCGGCUAACUUCGUGCCAGCAGCCGCGGUAAUACGAAGGGGGCUAGCGUUGUUCGGAAUUACUGGGCGUAAAGCGCACGUAGGCGGACUUUUAAGUCAGAUGUGAAAUCCCGAGGCUCAACCUCGGAACUGCAUUUGAAACUGGGAGUCUAGAGAUCAGGAGAGGUUAGCGGAAUACCGAGUGUAGAGGUGAAAUUCGUAGAUAUUCGGUGGAACACCAGUGGCGAAGGCGGCUAACUGGACUGAUACUGACGCUGAGGUGCGAAAGUGUGGGGAGCAAACAGGAUUAGAUACCCUGGUAGUCCACACCGUAAACGAUGAGUGCUAGUUGUCUGCAGGCAUGCCUGUAGGUGACGCAGCUAACGCAUUAAGCACUCCGCCUGGGGAGUACGGCCGCAAGGUUAAAACUCAAAGAAAUUGACGGGGGCCCGCACAAGCGGUGGAGCAUGUGGUUUAAUUCGAAGCAACGCGCAGAACCUUACCUACGCUUGACAUGCCCGGACGAUUUCCAGAGAUGGAUCUCUCCCUUCGGGGCCGGUGCACAGGUGCUGCAUGGCUGUCGUCAGCUCGUGUCGUGAGAUGUUGGGUUAAGUCCCGCAACGAGCGCAACCCUCAUCCUUAGUUGCCAUCACGUUUGGGUGGGCACUCUAGGGAAACUGCCGGUGCUAAGCCGGAGGAAGGCGGGGAUGACGUCAAGUCCUCAUGGCCCUUACGCGUAGGGCUACACACGUGCUACAAUGGCAGUGACAAUGGGAUAAUCCCCAAAAGCUGUCUCAGUUCGGAUUGUCGGCUGCAACUCGCCGGCAUGAAGUUGGAAUCGCUAGUAAUCGUGGAUCAGCAUGCCACGGUGAAUACGUUCCCGGGCCUUGUACACACCGCCCGUCACACCAUGGGAGUUGGAUCUACCCGAAGAUUGUGAGCUAACUUCGGAGGCAGCAAGCCACGGUAGGUUCAGCGACUGGGGUGAAGUCGUAACAAGGUAGCCGUAGGGGAACCUGCGGCUGGAUCACCUCCUUU
rnacentral:rRNA from 1 species